CAAGAUUUUUCUUGAUGGGGUUUCGUCCAAUCUUUGACUCUUUUUCGCUCAAAUUCACAUUAAUGCAUGAGUCUAUUUCUAAGGCAAGUGCUUAUUCCUCAUUUUUCUAUAUAUAUUUUUUCAUUUCUUUUUCUCUUUUUUUUCGGUAGAAGCGGAUGUUUCUACACAACUUUUCUUUUCCUCAUCUUUCUUUUUCUUGCACUUGCCCUUUUUCAACAUUUCUUCUACGGAUUACUACCCCAAACUUAUCUUUCUACACAAAUUUUACACUACAACAAUCAUGCCGAGCGAGGGUAGGAAGUUAUGGCUUAUGGUU
rnacentral:lncRNA from 1 species